CUUUUUAUUAAAUUGCGUACAAAGAAUUGAUUAGUAAUCGAUUAUGAGAAUUGAUAGUGAUAAUCGAUUUUUAAGUUGACGUGUAACUCCAACGCAAACAUCGUCUGCUUUGUUGGUUUUGAGCAUGUGUUUGUUGAAACGUUAGUGAAUAACAACUGCUGAUGAUGAAAACCAAACUACUUAAUUUUUAAUUUACAUUUUUCAUUUGUUUUUAAAUAUCGUUCACUUUGUGCUUCCUGGGAACAGUUUUCACAUGUUAAAAAACGCUGACAACAAAAGUCAAAAGAAACGUUUUCAAACCUGUUGCUCUCAAAGCAAUUAAGAAAGAUACCUGUGCCAUAUAUGCUGCCAAACCGGUUAUGAAAAACUGAGGCCGUUUAUAUAGGCCUAUAUUACCGUACCGUUUAUAUCAGUGGUGUUAGUAACGGAAAAACCGAGAUAACGAACAAAGAUUUUCGUAUCUUUCGUGGGCGAUUAUUAUUUCAUUCAGUCAAUCGUGGGACUGGAGAGUAGAAAUGGGGGAAGAAAUGGUGGUCCUCAACGAUCAGAAAAUCAGUUUCUGCCGAAAGGAUAUCAUAGGUAGAGGUGGUAAUGCAGUGGUUUUCCGUGGCAGUUUUUCAGGGCAAGAUGUGGCUGUGAAGCGGAUUCAACUGAUUGACGCCAACUACGAAUUAAAUUCGAGAGAGUUGCUCAAUUUGCGCCAACUCAAGCAUGGCAAUAUUGUCGAGUUUAUCCAUGUCGAGGAUAACGACGAUUUCAGAUUUAUUGUUUUCGAGCUCUGUUAUGCAAAUCUCCGCGAAUACUGCAAACCUGUUUACACAGGUCAAGUGCUGUCCGAUGAGUCAGAUCAGUUAAAGGUCAUGUUACAACUUACCCAAGCUCUCGAGUACAUUCAUUCAAAGGACAUCAUCCAUCGUGACAUCAAGCCAGAAAAUAUUUUGGUUUCCAACAAGGAUUCUGUCAAGAUGAAAUGGGCUGAUUUUGGACACAGCAAACUGACCAACGAGCGCGGCUCUACCUCAAUGAGCGGGCGCCGUGGAACGAAAGCUUGGUUGGCAAAGGAGAUCAUUCCAUUCUUUAACAGGGAUGAAUUAGGAGGGCGGUGUUCUAAAAACAGCGAUAUUUUUGCGGCUGGAUGCGUGUUUUUCUACUUUUUAACCAGAGGAAUCCAUCCUUAUGGUGAAGAAAAUCGGUUAAUCGAGCAAAAUAUUUUAAGUGAAAACAUAGAAAAUAAAAAUGAAUUGAACGACGGUCAUGCUGCCAAAAAAACUGUCAUUCAAAUGAUGGAAGACCGAUUGGAUUUGGCGAAAGUUAUCGAAUGUUUCAAUGCAUCUCUUUCCUAGAUGAAUUUUGACCGCUGAGGGUAAUCAUUGUGUUAUCAUCAUUAUUAUCCCAUAACAUCCACCAUCUAUGAGUGCAAAAUUAACUUCCCGGUGAGAGCAACCAAACCCCUUUAAAAUGUCUUGAAGAAACAGUGUGGUAAUUCUAUCCUGGAAUAACACAUUUAUUGUGUGUAACCUAAGGGUGAAUCCAAAAUACUAAUACAGAGUACAUAAUUUCCUCCCUAAUUAAAAUUCUGCAUUUAGUCUCCUCUGAGGAACGUAUAGGAGGGAUGGAACUGUCCUUGGGUUGGAAUGAAAAUAACAAGCUGACACCGUGGUCGUGCGUCCAGUCGCUUUUUUAUAAUAGCCUAACCUUAUGGAAAGCAAGUCCGUAGCCUGUAUCGCACCGUAUCUAUGAUAACAAUCUUACAAGUCCGAUAAGAAAUGUAAAUAAUUUCUGACAGAAAAUCUUUGGCGCCAUUUUCCUACAAAGAAGUUUCAUAUAAGCUUAUGCCGUUCAGUUACCUGUUACAUCAACUAAAAUGUCGGCCGAACAAACGCUGAUCAGUGCUAAUUUUACUUAUAACGACUCCAGUAUCAUAGGGGAAGGUGGAUACGGUGUCGUUUUUCAUGGUACUUAUUUUGGCAGAAAUGUUGCCGUAAAACGAAUUCAACGAUUCCAAGUAAAUCCACGUGAGGAGGCCAAUUUACAUAAACUCGAUCAUGACAACGUGAUACGGCUAGAACACUGCGAAGACAACAAGGAUUUCAGAUUUCUCGUGUUUGAGCUAUGUGCUACAGAUCUUGACAGCUAUUUGGAAGUAAAAUACCGCUACCAGAUAAGACUACCUCCUGACGAGGAAGUCCUCUUCAGCUCACCAAAGGUCUUCACUACAUUCACACAAUGGGGGUGAUCCAUCGUGAUAUCAAACCAGGGAAUAUUCUCAUUUCAAAAACGAAUCCUGUUCUGAUGAAAUGGGGUGAUUUCGGAUUCAACAAAGUUACGAAUAACCGUGGCUCUACGUCAAUGAGUGGCUUCCGUGGAACCCAAUGUUGGAUGGCACCCGAGAUACUUCCUUUACGCCAAAACAAAAAUGGCAGGGGUUCCAAGCAAAGUGAUACAUUUUCAGCCGGCUGUGUUUUCUUCUACUUCAUGAAAAGAAAAGUUCAUCCUUUUGGGAAACCAAAAUCGGCGGAAGGAAACAUCUCGCGCGGAAAAAUAGUUAACGCUAAACUCGUUGCUGAUGUUCCCGUCUUCCAAUUAGUGAUAAUUCCAAUGAUUGCCCAUAAAAGUGAAGAUCGCAUUUCUUUAUCGAAAGUUAUGGAAAUUUUGGAAGACCCUGAUGUAAUUAGUGAAUUUCAGCAAAAGACAACAAAAAACGUAUCAGAAGAAAGUCGGCUUGCUGAAAUUCGCGGAAAAAUGAUUUCGAUUGCAACUCUGCUGCAACAAAAAAAUAAGACGGGAUGGGUUAUCAAAGCAGAAGUUACUAACAAGACGCAAUUGCAAUCCAUGGAGAGUGUUAUAGAAGGAGUGCCAGGAAUGAAAUACUUUUCGUUGAGUUGAAAGACGAAAGUGAGGCAAUGAUUCGAGCAAGAGGCUGCAAAGCCGCAAUUUGUAACAAAUUCUAUCCAAAAUUUCAGGUAGGAAAAGAAUAUGUAAUCGUGAAAUCGACAUUGACCACAUUGCGUACUGGUGAGCCUAUCAUAUCUCUGCGAGCUGAAACGGAAAUAGUUACAAAUUGAUCUGAAAAUUGUAAUGUCGGUCGACAUUUGAAGUUUGUUUACUUCUGCAAUUAGAGGACGAAUAAACUUCACAGAACGACUGCGAUCGUCAUAUUUU
rnacentral:misc_RNA from 1 species